rnacentral:misc_RNA from 1 species
UGAUGAAGGGACUGCUGCUGCUGAAGCUAUGGCAAUGUGUAAUAAUAUCCUCAAAGGGAAGAAGAAAACGUUUGUUAUUUCGAAUAAUUGCCACCCACAAACGAUUGAUAUUUGUGUUACUCGAGCGGCGGGGUUCGAUCUUAAAGUAGUGACUGCAGAUCUUAAGGAUAUUGAUUAUAAAUCAGGUGAUGUUUGUGGUGUUCUUGUUCAGUAUCCUGGCACUGAAGGGGAAGUAUUGGACUAUGGGGAGUUUAUUAAGAAUGCUCAUGCUAACGGAGUUAAGGUUGUGAUGGCGACCGAUCUUCUGGCAUUGACGGUGUUGAAGCCACCAGGUGAAUUGGGGGCCGAUAUCGUUGUUGGAUCUGCACAGAGGUUUGGUGUUCCAAUGGGGUAUGGAGGUCCUCAUGCUGCUUUUUUGGCCACCUCUCAAGAAUAUAAGAGGAUGAUGCCAGGAAGAAUCAUCGGUGUUAGUGUUGAUUCAUCGGGUAAACCUGCCCUGCGUAUGGCGAUGCAGACGAGAGAACAGCAUAUCAGGAGGGACAAGGCUACCAGCAACAUUUGUACUGCUCAGGCGUUGCUAGCGAACAUGGCUGCAAUGUAUGCGGUGUAUCAUGGACCGAAGGGCCUCAAGGCGAUUGCAGAUAGAGUUCAUGGCCUUGCUGGUGCUUUCGCUGUUGGACUGAAGAAACUAGGCACGGCAGAAGUGCAAGGCCUUCCCUUUUUUGACACUGUGAAGGUUAAGGUUGCUGAUGCAAAUGCAAUUGCAGAUGCUGCUUACAAGAGCGGUAUUAAUCUGCGAAUCAUCGACAAGAACACGAUCACUGCUGCUUUUGAUGAAACGACAACCUUAGAAGAUGUUGAUG